AACCUCGUAGCCUGUCGAAGCUAGUCGUGAUGUUGACAGGAAGCCGGUGAGAUACCGGCACGGCCGCGCCACUGUGACCGCUGGAGCAUUCCGUUUCCAGUCCGGAAGUCAGACCCGUUUCAUCACGAAUCCACCA
rnacentral:ncRNA from 2 species